AUGAGGAAAGCGAAAUAGAGUCUGUGAACUCUGGAGAAGGGGAAACAGCUUGCGGUGAGACCAGGGGGAUUCUGGAGGCAAGCCAAGGCAGAACAUGCCUGCCAAGUCCUACCUCAAACCCACAAAAAAAGAGACCUAGGAUUUCUUGGAGUUUUCUUUUACUCUGUUGUCUCCAAGCAGAAGUUCCAUUAUUCAGAGCAUUUCUCGGCGCUGAUCUAGUUUGCACAUCAACUCUGAGGCAAUUCAGUAACCAAGCCCCAAGACCAGAUGGUGAACCCCAGCGGGUGGUGUGAGCUCUAACUGUAAUGCCCACCCCUUAUUUUUGUUGGCACUGCUCUACCCCCACCCCCAGACAGAAAGGAUUUGGCUUUCUCCCUGGUAACCACCUGAGUGGGAUUCUCUCUAUAGGGGAGCAGCGAGAAGAAUGAUGUUUGUGGAUCCCCCUUUCCAUUCAGGCGUCUGCUUCUAAUCACGCUAUUGAGGGGGUGCUUUCCCUGACCCCCACAGUUAACACUCACUAUCAAUCUCUGUGCUCUCACCUGGCUUUGUCUUUACUGCCUGGCACCCUCUCCAGAAUAGGAGCCCCCUGCUCUCCCAGGUGGAGUUUGCCUAAUUCACUCACUGCUGUAGCCCCAGUGCCUGUGACAUUUGUGGGACACGGAAAAUAUUUGUGAAAUGAAAAAGGAGCCUCUAUGAAUGCCAGCCCCUGUCCACAUGCUGUACAUUUAACACACAGGUAAGUGGUAACCUGGCCCUUCUGCAGGCGAGGAAACUGAGGAAUAAUGAGGAUAAGCAACGGCAAGCUCUGGCUUAUAGAUGGAGAUUGAAAUCACCUUGGAAGAAACUAUGCAGCAAGAAGGGGAGGGAGACUCACCUGAGCUUUAAGGUCAUUGAACACUUAAUUGCUGGGAAGCCAAUGAGGUGACAGCAGAGAAGCAGGAAAGGGCUGUCAUGGAGAAGGGGAAGGAAUCCACGGCCUCCCUGGAGCCCAGGAAGAAAACCCAGUGGGAAGGCACCUGAGUGGGAUUCAUUUUGAUGGAGGCCAAGAAGCUGAGGUCAGAGGCCUUUUGAGCAGGACGGCGGGGAUCAGUGAGAGCUGGCGGAGGCCUGGGCCGGAGGGAGGGCUGCAGGAGCAGAGAGCUGUGGGCCCCAGACUGGGUGCGCAGGCCAAGUCUAGCUGAGACCUGGUUCUGGAAAACUUCUUGGGAACACAUGCCUGCACACUGACCCGCUCCCCGCUCUGGCUGAAUCAUGCCCCAGCCCUCAGCACACACAGUUCAUAGACGCAAGUCCUAACCCCCAGUAUCUCAGAAUGUGACGGCAUUUGGGGAGGGGGCCUUUAAAACAACAGUUACGUCAAAUGAGUUCACCAGGGUGAGCCCCGAUCCAACACAACUGGUGUCCUUGUAAGAAGGUGUCAGGACACAGCACAGAGGGGAGAGCACGGAACACCACACAGCAAAGGUGGCGUCUGCAGGCCAGAAGCAGAGGCCCCAGGAGAUGCCAGCCCUGCUCACCCCCGGGUGUUGGACUUCCAGCCUCCUGAACGCUGAGAAAAUAAGCUUGAAUGGGCGCACAGCACUAGGAUAGGUAGUAAAGACUCGACUUCAAGCAGUCCAUGGGUGAUCAACGUUCAGAAACCAAUUUAAUCAUCAGAAAAACACAGGCUAAGGGAAGACUAAUACUAAUACCUAGACAGCGUGUCUCAAGACUGCCAAAGUCGCGAAGAACAAGGAAAGCUGUGGAACUGCCAUAGAACAGAGCAGACUAUGGGCCAUGGGCACUGAAUGCAACAUGGCACCUUGGAUUGGAUGUCUUGGGUCAGGAAGAGACCAUGGAAAAAGGGGUAGACCUUUGCCAACCAGUGCUGGGCAACCCUAAAAGGAUGAAAAGUGACUUCUUCCACCAGCCUGGGCAGAUGAUUCUUCUUGAAGCCACAGUAACCACUGCAGUCAAGAUAUGGAACAUCUUUAUGAGCCACAAGUUGUCUCGUGCCAUUGAAGAGUAAGUUGCAGAGCGCAGCUAUGAAGCCUGGACAUUGUAUGUAAAAUAAACACAAGAAGAUUCCAAAAAGGGGAAUGAAAAAGGUCAGACCAACUCAGAAUCUCAGGGCCCAAGGAAUGACAUAUUGGUGUGUUUCAGUGGGAUUUCUUGGUCUCAUACAUAAUCUGGACUUGGAAUUGGCAACCUAAAUGCCUAAAAUGGCAACUGAAAAUCCCAACAGGCACAUAAAAAAAAAAACCUCUAAAAAAGCCUUCUCACUCUAGGCAAAAGACCAGGAAAAAUUGGUAGUGUAGCAACAUGCCCUAGCACCCCACUGGGGUGGUGUCUGAAGACACCAAGCAGGAAACUGCAACUGGCCCACGUGUACCACCAUCCUGUGAAGUGUCAGUGGAGGCCAGGAGGGGGACAGGACUCCUACCUUUGAGCAGCAGUAACAAGGAGCCACAUGUCCCAUAGGGGUUAGUGGAGACCAAGCAGGGAACCUGGAAAGCCAGCUCCACCUGAAGUAGUGAAGUGACAGCCCCCUUCCCUUGCCUAGCAGUGCCACAGCAAGCUGCUUAAAUAGGAGGUUUAAAUAAGAUCCAGAAUCUCAUAACAUAAUAUGAAAAAAUACAAUCAAAAACUUUCCAUCAUACCAAACAACAAGCUGCAAGGACUAACACCCUUGUAACAAAAAAGGUCGAAAGCCUCAACAAAGGAAAAAAAAUUUCUGAGUCAGGAUACAUGAGAAUAAAUGAAUGCUUCAGAACUGAAAAAAUACAAUGCUAAACUUUUAGAAUAACCUAGUGCAUGGGUUUAAUAGCAGAAUGGAGAGGUCAGAGGAAAGAAUCAGUGAACUGGUAGAUAAAAAAGAGAGAUUACAAAAUCUGAACAGGGAGAAAAUGCAUUGCACAUCAGUGAACAAGAGUCAGCAAGAUGGCAGCAGAGUCAGGACCCUGGGCUCACAUCUUCCAGAUACUCACUGUAAAACAAAGCCAACAACAACAACAAAAACCCCAAAGGAAAAACAGAUGAUGACAGCACACACUAGAGCUUUGGUCUGCGUGGAGAGGAGUAGGAAAAACUUUUCGUUUACAAGGAUAACAGGACACUAAACUCACAAGACGGAGGAGAGGCUGCUGUGCAGAACCCUCUACAGUUAUAGACUCGGGCACAUGCCAACACUGCCCAGCACUGCCCUGGAUAAGGGGGUGCUCCAGCAGACAUCUAGGAUGGAAGAAGCACUGUUGGAGAGAUGCAGGGGUAGGGGUACAGAAUGAGGACCACUGAAUUGAGCUGAGGCUCUGACAGAUGUAGCUUGGAUUAGGUCAGACCAACUGGGUUUCCUUCUGGAAGAGGCUACUACUCAAAGUUCGGGCUGACAUAUUGAAAAUGCCUACCACUUUCCACCCCAGGGCUAAAGCCAAAAUAAAGAACUGUUUGAAGAAACUAGAGCUCCAGUACCCACUAAUUAUCAGGAGCAAACACCCCAGGAUUAUACUCUGUGCUGGAAAUGAAAAGAGGACACCCCCCAGCCUGUGACCACCUAGCAACUAUAAUCUGUGUCCCGUGCUUCAUCUCGUACUUAAAAACCACCUAGAGUAGAAGUGGACACAAGACUAAAUAAGAGACAUUAAAUCUGAGGAGCUGAUCUAGGGGAGGGGAUCUCUGUGGAUCCCACCCCACAACUGCGGCACCCACUGUACAGCAGGAAGUUCAAAUUCCUGGAUCUGCUGGAGGUGAUGCUUGGGUGCCAUACAGCCCAUACUCUUCUUUAACUAUUGCCUCUCACUGGUACUAGUCCUCAGAUUACUUCAACAGGUGCAAACAACAGUCCAAAAAUCUACCUCUAUUAAAACCCAUUAAAAAUUUACAAUGAAGAGAUAGAAGAACACAUCACAAAUGCCAGAACAAAAAUAAUCACUGAAAGGAGCCCUCGCUCAGCAGUGUUGAAGAGCAAAACAGAAUAGGAAUUCAGGGCAACAGUCUGAGAAUGCUUACCGAACUCAGAAAAAAAAUGGAGGAUAUAAAACAACCACAGAAUAAAGAUAAGGAAUGAUAUGAGACAGCUAUAAUUAGAAAUAAUGGAACCAAGAAACACUAUGGCUAAUUAAAAAAAAAAAUGCAGUUGAGAGCAGAAGACAGCAGACAGCAGAAGCAUGGGGAGAAUAAAGGAGCUUGAAAAUGCAAUCUUGGAGAACAUAUGAAUGUAAUAUAGAGGGAAAACAAGAAUAAAAAAUUGAAACUAGUGUAAGAGGCCUCGGGGAUGACUUACAGUGAAAUAACAUCCAUAUCAUAGGGUUCCAAGAAG